AUUGAACGCUGGCGGCAGGCCUAACACAUGCAAGUCGAACGAGUGGCGGACGGUGAGUAAUGUCUGGGAAACCGCCCGCUGGAGGGGGAUAACUACUGGGAACGGUAGCUAAUACCGCACACCACCCAGUGUGCCCCGAUGGGAUUAGCUAGUAGGUGGGGUAACGGCGCACCUAGGCGACGAUCCCUAGCUGGUCUGAGAGGAUGACCAGCCACACUGGAACUGAGACACGGUCCAGACUCCUACGGGAGGCAGCAGUGGGGAAUAUUGCACAAUGGGCGCAAGCCUGAUGCAGCCAUGCCGCGUGUAUGAAGAAGGCCUUCGGGUUGUAAAGUACUUUCAGCGGGGAGGCGUUACCCGCAGAAGAAGCACCGGCUAACUCCGUGCCAGCAGCCGCGGUAAUUC
rnacentral:rRNA from 1 species